rnacentral:rRNA from 1 species
GUUAGGAAUAUUGGACAAUGGGCGCAAGCCUGAUCCAGCCAUGCCGCGUGAGUGAUGAAGGCCUUCGGGUUGUAAAGCUCUUUAGCCGAUGAUUAUAAUGACUGUAGUCGGAAAAUAAGCCCCGGCUAACUUCGUGCCAGCAGCCGCGGUAAUACGAAGGGGGCGAGCGUUAUUCGGAAUCACUGGGCGUAAAGCGUGCGUAGGCGGCUUUGCAAGUUGGGAGUGAAAGCCCAGGGCUCAACCCUGGAAUUGCUCUCAAAACUGCAAGGCUCGAAUUCGGGAGAGGAUAGCGGAAUUGUCAGUGUAGCAGUGAAAUGCGUAGAUAUUCACAGGAACACCAGUGGCGUAAGCGGCUAUCUGGACCGAUAUUGACGCUGAGGCACGAAAGCGUGGGGAUCAAACAGGAUUAGAUACCCUUGUAGUCC